rnacentral:rRNA from 1 species
UACGUAGGGUGCAAGCGUUGUCCGGAAUUAUUGGGCGUAAAGCGUCCGCAGGUGGCACUUCAAGUCUGUCGUCAAAGACUGGGGCUUAACCCCGGAAAGGCGGUGGAAACUGAAGCGCUAGAGUGCGGUAGGGGUAGAGGGAAUUCCCGGUGUAGCGGUGAAAUGCGUAGAGAUCGGGAAGAACAUCGGUGGCGAAAGCGCUCUACUGGACCGCAACUGACACUCAGGGACGAAAGCUAGGGGAGCGAAUGGG